CUAAAAUAGCAGAACGGGUGUUAGAGCUGCUAACGGAUCUGCUAUGUUUGGCAAUUUCUGCGAGUCUCAACACUAAGUGACACAGGUUCGAAGACUCAGUUUGAAGCUGCGGGCGAUUAUAGGAUUUAUUUAUGAGUUAAGUGUAUGAGUUAAUUCGCUUUCAUAGAGUUCCCCCGCCCUUAUUGCUUAACAUUUUUAUUUAGUACAGAGGGAUAGGAAUUGUAUUCGAGUUUCAUUU